GACGAACGCUGGCGGCAGGCUUAACACAUGCAAGUCGAGCGCCCUGCUUGCAGGGAGCGGCAGACGGGUGAGUAACGCGUGGGAACGUGCCCUUCGGUACGGAAUAGCCCCGGGAAACUGGGUGUAAUACCGUAUACGACCUCCGGGUGAAAGAUUUAUCGCCGAAGGAUCGGCCCGCGUUGGAUUAGCUUGAUGGUGGGGUAACGGCCUACCAUGGCGACGAUCCAUAGCUGUUCUGAGAGGAAGAUCAGCCACACUGGGACUGAGACACGGCCCAGACUCCUACGGGAGGCAGCAGUGGGGAAUAUUGGACAAUGGGCGAAAGCCUGAUCCAGCCAUGCCGCGUGGAUGAAGAAGGCCCUAGGGUUGUAAAGUCCUUUCGGCGGUGAAGAUAAUGACGGUAACCACAAAAGAAGCCCCGGCUAAUUUCGUG
rnacentral:rRNA from 1 species